UUGCAGGUGUGGAGAAUUGCGAAUAUGCUUUUUUAUAGUGCAGAAUUGGCCGUUGGUACAGAACUGCCGAAACCGUUUACCGAUUAUAUCGAUGAUCCACUUCAGAUGGCGGGAAAUGUCAUUUUCAAUCAACAUGAAAAAAUGGUGUUUGUCUACCCUUGUCAGUAUCCAUCGGACAGACCUAGUGUUACAGAGAUGACUGAUGUUCUACGGAAUAUAAAAACAUAAUGGGAAAAAUGCAAACAUAUAUGCUGCUUGGGAGUACUAUGAUAAUUGUCUACCGAAACUGAAUUUUCAGUGGUGAUGAUCGGAUGUUUGUUCAACCUAGGCAACAUUAUGUGCUGGCAGUCAUUCUCAAGACGCCUCUGCAAAUACAUAUCUUCCAUGUAGAA